rnacentral:rRNA from 1 species
UGCCAGCCUCCGCGGUACUACUAAUUGGGCUAUCGUUGUUCGGAAUUACUGGGCGUAAAGCGCACGUAGGCGGAUUAGAAAGUUGGGGGUGAAAUCCCAGGGCUCAACCCUGGAACUGCCUCCAAAACUACUAGUCUUGAGUUCGAGAGAGGUGAGUGGAAUUCCGAGUGUAGAGGUGAAAUUCGUAGAUAUUCGGAGGAACACCAGUGGCGAAGGCGGCUCACUGGCUCGAUACUGACGCUGAGGUGCGAAAGUGUGGGGAGCAAACAGGAUUAGAUA